UUGGUUUGUUGUUUCUAUUCC
rnacentral:siRNA from 1 species